rnacentral:rRNA from 1 species
GAUGAACGCUGGCGGCGUGCCUAAUACAUGCAAGUCGAGCGAACAGACGAGGAGCUUGCUCCUCUGACGUUAGCGGCGGACGGGUGAGUAACACGUGGAUAACCUACCUAUAAGACUGGGAUAACUUCGGGAAACCGGAGCUAAUACCGGAUAAGAUAUUGAACCGCAUGGUUCAAUAGUGAAAGACGGUUUUGCUGUCACUUAUAGAUGGAUCCGCGCCGCAUUAGCUAGUUGGUAAGGUAACGGCUUACCAAGGCAACGAUGCGUAGCCGACCUGAGAGGGUGAUCGGCCACACUGGAACUGAAACACGGUCCAGACUCCUACGGUAGGCCGCAGUAGGGAAUCUUCCGCAGUGGGCGAAAGCCUGACGGAGCAACGCCGCGUGAGUGAUGAAGGUCUUCGGAUCGUAAAACUCUGUUAUUAGGGAAGAACAAAUGUGUAAGUAACUAUGCACGUCUUGACGGUACCUAAUCAGAAAGCCACGGCUAACUACGUG